GGCCCGUUGGUCAAGCGGUUAAGACACCGCCCUUUCACGGCGGUAACACGGGUUCGAGUCCCGUACGGGUCA
rfam:Salimicrobium jeotgali strain MJ3 Contig17, whole genome shotgun sequence.